GGCUGGUCCGAAGGUAGUGGGUUAUCAGAACUUAUUAACAUUAGUGUCACUAAAGUUGGUAUACAACCCCCUACUGCUAAAUUUGGCUUUAA
rnacentral:Y_RNA from 1 species